rnacentral:rRNA from 1 species
AACGAACGCUGGCGGCAGGCCUAACACAUGCAAGUCGAGCGCACCUUCGGGUGAGCGGCGGACGGGUUAGUAACGCGUGGGAACGUGCCCUUCUCUAAGGAAUAGCCUCGGGAAACUGAGAGUAAUACCUUAUACGCCCUUCGGGGGAAAGAGUUUAUCGGAGAAGGAUCGGCCCGCGUUAGAUUAGAUAGUUGGUGGGGUAACGGCCUACCAAGUCGACGAUCUAUAGCUGGUUUUAGAGGAUGAUCAGCAACACUGGGACUGAGACACGGCCCAGACUCCUACGGGAGGCAGCAGUGGGGAAUCUUAGACAAUGGGCGCAAGCCUGAUCUAACCAUGCCGCGUGAGUGAUGAAGGCCUUAGGGUCGUAAAGCUCUUUCGCCAGGGAUGAUAAUGACAGUACCUGGUAAAGAAACCCCGGCUAACUCCGUG